CUUCAGUGUUGAACCUGGACCUUCAGACUCAAAACACACAGCAGAGUCUUUAGGAUCCAGCAGGUUGUCUCUGAAGAGUGAUUGGUCCAAAGGUCGUCCACCAGCCUUCAGUGUUCAACCUGUACCUUUAGACACAAAGUAAGAAAAGAAGAGGACUGAUGUCUGUGAGGAGCAGC